UUCAACAUGAUUAAACUCAAUGAUAUAACUUUUUAUAACUGAGGAUGUACAUGCAGGACAUAUUGUUAAGGAAUUCUUCGUUUAUGAUUGUGAU
rnacentral:snoRNA from 1 species